CUUGGAAAAAUGGGAAAAACCUUUGGAAAAUUGGGAUUAACCCUCAAAAAUGGGAAUAACCCUUGGGAAAUUGGGAAUGAGCCUGGGAAAUUGGGAAUAACCCUGGGAAAAUGGGAAUUACUCUCAAAAAUGGGGAAAAUCCUUGGAAAAUGGGAAUAACCCUCAGAAAAUAGGAAAAACCCUUGGAAAAUUUGGGAAUAACCCUGGAAAAUUGGGAAUAAUUCCUGAAAAAUGGGGAAAACCCUUGGAAAAUUGGGAAUAACCCCUCAAAAAUGGGAAUAACCCUUGGAAAAUCGGGAAUAACCCUGGGAAAUUGAGAAUAACCCUGGGAAAAUUGGGAAUAAUCCUUGGAAAACCAGGAAGAACCCUGGAAAAAUGGGAAGAAUCUUGGAAAAUUGGGAAUAACCCUGGAAAAAUGGGAAAGAAGCCUUGGAAAAUGGGAAUAACCCUUGGAAAACUGGGAAUAAUGGUGAAAAACCCUUUAAAAAUCGGGA
rnacentral:lncRNA from 1 species